AUCGCUUCUCGGCCUUUUGGCUGAGAUCAAAUGUAGUAUCUGUUCUUAUCAGUUUGAAAUGUUGUUACCCAGAGGAGUAGUCAUCGUUCAAUACUGUAUUGUACCAUGUAUCUUGGUCACUUUUUUGCCCAAAUUUUUGAGGGAAAAGUAAGGGUGUGCAUUAUACAUGGUUAGUACCUGAAAUACCUUGUAUCUAUU